UCAUUUUCUCUUGCUGCUACCAUGGAAGAAGCGACUUUCGCCUCCCGCCGUGAUUCUGAGGCCUUUCCAGCCAUGUCAAACUGCUUUGGUAUCAGGAUAAUGGUGGCCUCAUAAAAUGAGCUUAACACCACUUGGAAGAUGCCAAGGCUUUUGGCUUGCUUAUACCUUCUUGAGCUGGAGCAGCUGCUCGAGCUGUACCUGGGACCCUUUGUACCACGGCUGGCAUUGGAGUGGAUGGAAAGUGAGGAGAAGAAUCAUGAGGCUGCUCAGGGCAGCUGGUCACUGGGCCUGGCCCACAAAACAUUUUUUUUUUCUUCUAGGCUUUUGGUCCUGAAAUGGGAGGGGAUGACAUAAAGGUCUAUGAAAUGCCUUUGAGAUAUUUUCCCCAUUGUCUUGAAUAUUAGCUCUUGACUCUCUUUUAGCUAUACAGAAAUCUCUAGCAAAUGGUUUCUCCACAGCCUACUUGAACUCCUCUCUCCCAAAAGCUUUAUAUUUCUCUGUCACAUGGCCAGGAUGCAAAUUUUCCAAAUGUCUCCCCUGUGCUUUCUAUUUAAAUAGAAAUUCCAACUUUAAGUCAUUUCUUUGCUUCCACAUCUGAGUGUAGAGUAUUAGAAGCAGACAGGCCACAUCUUGAAUGCUUUGCUGCAUAGAAAUUUCUUCCAUCAGAUAUUCGAAGUCAUUACUCUCAAGUUUAAACUUCCAGGGAUCCCUGGGGCAAGGAUAAAAUAUAGCCAAGUUCUUUACUAAGGCAUAACAUACAUGACCUUUGCUCCAGUUCCAAAUAAGUUCCUCAUUUCCAUUCAAGGCAGUGUCAGCCUGAUCUUCACUAUCCAUAUCACUAUCAGCAUUUUGGUCAUGGCCUAAUACACCUACGAUGAAGCAUUAUACUGUUAUAUACUUUUGUAUUGUCAUCUAGUAUUAUUUCAUUUCAACUUUAGAAACUGCCUUUAGCAUUUUACUCCAGUAGUGAUGAACUCCAUCAGCAUUUCUUUAUCUGGAAGAGACAUUAUUUUUUCUUCAGUUAGGAGAGUAGGUUUGCCAGAUACAGUAUUCUUGGAGUGUAUUUAGUUUUUUUCUUUUUUCUUUUUCUUCAAUACUUUAUAUAUCAACCCAUUCCCUUUUGGCCUGCAAGUUUUCUGCUGAGAAAUUUGCUGAUAGUCUUAUGGAUGCUCCCUUUUAUGUGACAGAUUGCUUUUCUCUUGCACCCUUCAAAAUUUUCUCUUUGUGUUUAACUUUUAUCAAUUUGACUGUAAUGUGUCUUGGUGUAGAAUUCUUUGGAUUUAUUCCAGUUGAAGUCCUUUGGGCUUUCUGAAUCUGAAGAUUAAAUUUCCUUCCUAGAUUUGAGUUCACUUUGUCAUUAUUUCUUUAAAUAAUCUGCAUCUCUCUUUCUUUUUCUCUUCUUCUUCUGGAAACUUCAUGAGUCUUUUAGGGUUUCUUUACUUUUUUAAAUUAAAAUAUUUUUAUCUGAAUAAUUUCAAAUGACUUGUUCUUAAGUUUGCUAAUCCUUUGUUCUGCUUGCUCUAGUCUGCUGUUGAAUGUCUCUAGAAAACAUUUUAGUUAGUUCUUACAUAUUUAUGCACCAAAAUAUCCCUUUGGUUCUUUUUAUAUAUUUUCUAUCUCUAUGUUGAUAUGACAUUUGGUUUAUAUAUUUUAUUGAAUUCAUUGAGCAUCAUUAUGGUAAUUUUGAAUUUUUGUCAUGUAAUUUACAUAAUUCAAUUAUGUUCCUUUAAUUGAGCCAUGUUUCUCUGAUUUUUCAUGUGUUUUAUAAGUUAGUGUUGAGAUCUGCACAUUUGAAAGAACAGCCACCUCUGCCAGUCUUUAUAACCUGACUUUUUAUGGGUAUAGACCUUUAUCAAUCAGAAAAAGUAGCACUUCUGGGGGCCUCUCAAACCCUUUUUGUGAAUGCAUCUUCUCUGGACUUGGGUUUGUUCUUUUCUUUUUGCAGAAGAUCAUAAUUGUUUUUUCCCUCUGGUGUCUGUGGUCACGGUUCUCCAGAGCUGCUGCAAUCUAUCCAGCCCUCUUUUGGUUUCAGAACCUCCCAGGCUUCUAGAGUAUUAUGGAUCUCAUUAAUGCUCUGACUUACGUGUGACAGAAACCAUUUCCUUGGGAAGCUCCCUGAAAAGCAACAUGGUUGCAUGCAUACUCUGUGUCAGGCCUCUGAGCCCAAGCUAAGCCAUCAUAUCCCCUGUGACCUGUGUGUAUACAUCUAGAUGGCCUGAAGCAACUGAAGAUCCACAGAAGAAGUGAAAAUAGCCAGGUCCUGCCUUAACUGAUGACCUUCCACCAUUGUGAUUUGUUCUUGCCCCACCCUAACUGACCAAUUGACCUUUUGACAGUAUACCCUCCCCGCCCUUGUGAUAAUGUACUUUGUGAUAUUCCCCUGCCCUUAAGAAGGUACUUUGUAAUAUUCUCCCCACCCUUGAGAAUGUACUUUGUAAGAUCACCCCCUGUCCAUAAAAAAUUGCUCCUAACUCCACCGCCUAUCUCAAACCUAUAAGAACUAAUGAUAAUCCCACCACCGUUUGAUGACUCUCUUUUUGGACUCAGCCCACCUGCACCCAGGUGAUUAAAAACUUUAUUGUUCACACAAAGCCUGUUUGGUGGUCUCUUUACACGGACGCGUGUGACACUCUACCCUUUUCUUUUCCUGAUAAAUGAGAGAUUGCGAAACUGUAUUGGUCUCUGUGUGCUAUAUGUCAGGUCCUCUAGAACAGCAGUAAGGUGCUCAGCUCUCUUUUGUUCUCAGAGGCCCUCAGAUAUAUAUAAUAUGCCAGAUCCACUUAGUGCUUUAAGACAGGUGAAACAGAAACAAGUUUUCUGGUCAUCCCCCCAAAACUGAAACAUUUGAUGGAGAGUUUAGCUCUUUUCCUUUCCAAGGAGAAUCUGG
rnacentral:lncRNA from 1 species